AUGAGCAUGUCCACUGGAGGAGUAGUGCCAGCUCCGCUCUGCCAGGGCUUUCUGAAGAAACGGAAAGACAAAAUGAGGCUUCGGUGGAUGACUUACUGGUUCAGACUUUACAAUACAACUCUCUUUUUCUACACUAAAAAACAUGGGAGUGCUAUAGACCUCAGAGGCCAGUAUUACAUAUAUGAGAUUCAGUCUGUGCGGGAGGUCAGCAGAUCUGAGAGCAAUCACUAUCUAUUUGAGAUCACAAUGAAAAAUGGGAAGAAGAAAAUGCUGGCAGCAGAUACAGCUGAUGUCAGGCAGGAGUGGAUGGAGCAGCUGUGGAAAGCCAUGCUGCUCAAUGGCCCUGACAGAUCUGGAUCUAUCACUAAUGGGGAGCUGCUGCCAGAUAACAACCUUGAAAUUCGGUCAAGCCAUUGUGAAGAAUCAAGUACUGAGACCAGCAGCACUUCAGUGGACAGAUGUCUCUCCAUUGAUCAAGAGUCAUUCUUCGCUGGUACUGUCUGCAUUCGGGUUGCUGAUGAGACACAAGACAGUUUGCACACAAAAAAUGAAAUGGAGCAAAGUACUGAGGAGUUUUUACUGACGGACCAUGACUACGAUGUUUUACCAUCUCGAAUAGCAGUUGCUGAAGAAACCAUCUUUGACACUUCCCCUUCUAAAUGGUCAACCAAUGAGGAAGAGCAUGGAACUCACAGCAGUGGUGAGAGGCCUGAGAGUGGGGGUCUUCUGAGAGACAUGAUUGCCUGUUUGGAUAGUGAAUCUGCUGCUUGGGUCAAACCUACUCCUCUAUGAACCUCAUGGGUCAUUUUGAGCAAGACUGAGAUGAUGAUAAAUGUUUGUUGUUGCAGUAAACCUUAAUAUUGUUUAUGAUAAUUCUGUUUGCCAUCCUAACUGUCAUCACUUAUGUAGAACAAUGACUACAUUGUUGAAUUUCACACCGUCCCUGAUCAUUUAAGCUAAAUAACGAAGUGUCAACACAUCUUUUGUCCUGUCACAAAUCAAAAUAAUGAAUUAACUAUCAAACAAAUUAACUUUUGGACAGAAUUUUUAAACCUGUUGUUUUACAGAUUUGCAAGACAAAUCUAUUUAAAGGGUUCACCCAAAAAUUCAAUUUCUGUCAUUAUUUAAUCACCCUCAUGUCAUUCCAAACCUGUAAGACCUUAGUUUAUUUUUGGAAAACAAAUGAAAAUAUUUUUGAUGAAAUCUGAGAGCUUUCUGGCCCUCCAUAGACAGCAAUGCUGAAAUGUUCCCAGACUCAGAAAAGUAGUAAGGGCAUUGUUAAAACGGUCCAUGUGAUAUCAGUGGUGGAUCCUCAGUUUUACAAAGCUACGAGAAUAGUUUUUGUGUGAAAAAAAAAUAAUUAAAUAAAAUAAGUAAUGACUUUAUUCA
ensembl:lncRNA